CCUACGGGAGGCAGCAGUGAGGAAUAUUGGUCAAUGGACGAGAGUCUGAACCAGCCAAGUAGCGUGAAGGAUGACUGCCCUAUGGGUUGUAAACUUCUUUUAUAUGGGAAUAAAAUGUUCCACGUGUGGGAUUUUGUAUGUACCAUAUGAAUAAGGAUCGGCUAACUCCGUGCCAGCAGCCGCGGUAAUACGGAGGGUCCGAGCGUUAUCCGGAUUUAUUGGGUUUAAAGGGAGCGUUGGUGGGUUGUUAAGUCAGUUGUGAAAGUUUCCGGCUCAACCGUAAAAUUGCAGUUGAAACUGGCAGUCUUGAGUACGGGAGAGGUGGGCGGAAUUCGUGGUGUAGCGGUGAAAUGCUUAGAUAGGACGAAGAACUCCGAUUGCGAAGGCAGUUCACUGGACUGCAACUGACACUGAGGCUCGAAAGUGUGGGUAUCAAACAGGAUUAGAUACCCGUGUAGUC
rnacentral:rRNA from 1 species